AUUGAACGCUGGCGGCAGGCCUAACACAUGCAAGUCGAGCGAGCGGCGGACGGGUGAGUAAUGUCUGUGAAACUGCCUGAUGGAGAGGGAUAACUACUGGAAGCGGUAGCUAAUCACGCAUACCAUCAGAUGUGCCCAGAUGGGAUUAGCUAGUCGGUGGGGUAACGGCUUACCUAGGCGACGAUCCCUAGCUGGUCUGAGAGGAUGACCAGCCACACUGGAACUGAGACACGGUCCAGACUCCUACGGGAGGCAGCAGUGGGGAAUAUUGCACAAUGGGCGAAAGCCUGAGGCAGCCAUGCCGCGUGUGUGAAGAAGGCCUUCGGGUUGUAAAGCACUUUAAGCGGGGAGGCGUUACCAGCAGAAGAAGCACCGGCUAACUCCGUGCCAGCAGCCGCGGUAAUUC
rnacentral:rRNA from 1 species